rnacentral:rRNA from 1 species
GACGAACGCUGGCGGCGUGCUUAACACAUGCAAGUCGAACGGUGAAGCGCCUUCCUUUUUGGUGGGUGUGGAUGAGUGGCGAACGGGUGAGUAACACGUGAGUAACCUGCCCCCUUCUUCUGGAUAACCGCAUGAAAGGUUGGCUAAUACGGGAUAUUCUGGGUCUGUCGCAUGAUGGGUCUGGGAAAGAUAGUGUUUCGGUGGGGGAUGGGCUCGCGGCCUAUCAGCUUGGUGGGGGGGUGAUGGCCUCUCAAGGCGGUGACGGGUAGCCGGCCUGAGAGGGUGGACGGGCACACUUGGAAGGAUACACGGCCCAGAUUCGUACGGGACGCAGCACUGGCGAAUAUUGCACGAUGGGGUCAAGACUGAUGCAGCGACGCCGCGUGAGUGAUGGAGCCAUUCGGGUUGUGAACCUCUUUCGCUAGGGAAGCAGGCCUGCCUCGUUUGUGGGUGGGGUGACGGUAGCUGGAGAAGAAGCGCCGGCUAACUACGUG